rnacentral:rRNA from 1 species
GUGGAUUAGAUACCCUGGUAGUCCACGCCGUAAACUAUGGAUGCUAGCCGUCGGCAAGCUUGCUUGUCGGUGGCGCAGCUAACGCUUUAAGCAUCCCGCCUGGGGAGUACGGCCGCAAGGUUAAAACUCAAAGGAAUUGACGGGGGCCCGCACAAGCGGUGGAGCAUGUGGUUUAAUUCGACGCAACGCGAAGAACCUUACCAGCUCUUGACAUGUCCGGACGGUUUCCAGAGAUGGGAUCCUCCUAGCAAUAGGCCGGAACACAGGUGCUGCACGGUUGUCGACAACU